UGUGGGACUGAGAAGUGGCUCUCAGACUGAGGCACAUCGCGAGGUCACAGGACUCAAACUCCCUGGGGACUUGACCAAAUUAAAGGGGGUCAUCUUAUCACU
rnacentral:snoRNA from 1 species